AUGGCUUCAUCCGGUUCCAUGACGAGGCUGCGGUGCGCUAACCAAGAGGACAUGCCGAACAAGUGGGAGGAGGCAAGGUUGGACAAGACGAAGGAGAAGGAUGUGAAAACCCCUUCAUGUUGGUAUGCAGGUGAGUGCAAGGUGAAGGUCUCCACUGACCGGAAGAAGUCAUGGACGGAAGGAAGAAGAUAUUUUGUGUGUCCCAACUAUGUACAUGAUCGCGCACGUCCCACUAACGCCUAUGACAUCCCACCGGUAUGUUAG
rnacentral:rRNA from 1 species